GGAGAUGGAAAGAAAACAGUUCUUACUCUCCCAUCCUCUGUAGCUGGUUUAUGGGUACCCACCCUUGAUACUAAGAUUCUUUUAAGAAGAGGAACAACAAGAGAGUUGACUCUUGUGUGCUGGUUAAUAACAGACUCUGGAGAAAGCACAACUGCCUGGAUUUAAAGCUCAGCCUUAGCUGCAUGUGACUUCAAACAAGUUACUUAACCUUUCUGAGCCUUAGUUCCCUCAAGAAAGAGGGCAGUAACAAUAGCGCUUCCUCAUGGGGUGAUGAUGAUUAAAUAAAUGAAUAUUUCUAAAGCACUUGUAACAAUACCUGGCAAACAAGAAGUAUCAUGUAGCUGUUGUUAAGUGGAACAAAAUACGAAAAGGCCACAGAUUAGACCCCUGCAUUUCCCUCAUAUAAGCCUUUGUGAGAACCAGUUUACUUUAAGUGGAUAUACAGUUUUUAACAAGUUGUCAAUGCAGACAAUUAAAGAGUCACUUUAUUGCUGUUCUUUAAGCAGGUCAAUAGGUAGGGAGUUACAUAAAGUUACAAAGGGUUGUAUUGUUGAAGAAUUCCCAUGUUUUAAUUGAGUUUCUACUAAGUAUUUAAAUCCUGUCAUGUUAUUGAGAGAUGAGAUAGGUGGAUUCCAGUGCAUCAGAUCCUUUCUAUGCUGGGAAAUUAUCUAGGAUUCCUUGAAGAUCACUCUAAAAGCUGACUAUGAGAGUACAUAAUGAGUUUUGAAAGACCUUUUGAAGAUAUUUUCUAGGAGGGAUCUAUUUUGCAGGUAAAAGAGUAUGUCCCCUUUACUGUUUCUGCUAGAAUCAAAAUUAGCUCUUUUUUUUUUUUUUUCUUGGCUUACAGUCUUAGAUGAUUUUGGAUAUAACCCCUUCUCCAAAUACUUAGUGAUUAAAGUCAGUUUUAGCAUUGGCAUUAUUUGCUCUGCAUUGAAUUCAGGCAUGACCUUUAUUAUGAGCAAUAUGAAUAUUACAGGGAAUAUUUGCAUGGCUAAUUAUUUUAUUGAAGUAAACACAGGUGUGCCAGAAGCCCUGGUGGCUCCCAGUCCCUAUGCCCCACUGUGGGUGGCAUGCCACCUCCCUUCUGCUGCCCUCCCCACGGACAUCCUCCAUCUGCAGGCUCCCCUAGUCCUGAGCCAGUGCCUGGUCCUGGUUUCCCUGGAAGUUGGUUUCUGGUUCCUUAUUCUGGAUUCUCUAUUUUGCAAAAUAAGCCUUACCCUCUGCCAUAGAUUCUUAUUCUGGGGCCAGUCAUUUUUAUGUGAAGUGGGGAACAGGUGCAUGGGAUUCUAAUGCACAUGAAAGGUCAAGAACCCUAGUGUAAACAUAAACUGCCCAAAUAUCCAUUUAGCAGUUCUCCUUGCCAGGUUAACUAGUUGGUUCUGCUCACAAGAGUUGCUUCUUGUCCCCAGUCCCCCGGGCACAGCUGUAUCUUCUCCUCAGGCCACCUCUUGCCCCAUACCUCUAGCUCCUCAAAACUGGAGCCUUUACCUGGAGUUACUAAACACCUCAGGGUAAGAUUCAUCCUGUCCCUUACAACAUUGCUUCUACUCUCAUAUACCUUCCACCCCCCAGCAUUGCUGUACAGUCAUGCCCAGACAUCCGGGCCCUAGUAAAGCAAGAAAAGAUGAGGGAGGUAGAUGGGAAGUAGCCUUUCCCCCUGUGUUUCCUCAUUAAAAGCAAUACCCCAGGAAACCUAAAAUGGUCCAAGAGGUCGUUCCAGAGACAAGAUGGAGAGUGUCAGCUCUCAGAGGAUCAGGAAGAAAAGAGCAAAUUGGACUUUGAUAUAACAGCUUAGCCAACUCUUGGGUAGAGAGGGAGGGUGGGCUGGAGCAGGGAGAAACGGUGGGGUCUCUGGUGAGCAGGAAAUCUCACACAGCUUCUCCACCAGGAGCCUCUCAUUUUCUCAUCUCCUCAGGAAGCCCUGACCAGGGAUCCAUCGACUGUAUUUGACCUGGGGAAGCUCAGCAGGUGGCAAAGUUUAGGGAGAGCCCACCAGCAAGUGGCCUGGGUCUGUACCUAUACUCCUAAGGUCUGUUUGGCGAGAAUUCGCUUAAUCUCUGUCUUUUGUGACCAUAAUACAGAAAGUGUCUUGUGUGGCCUUUAUAACACUGCUUUGUCCCUUCACACGUGCAUUUGUAAAGUCAGCUCUUUACUCUCUGGCCUUUGGGGAACUACUGCAGCGCCCUCGAUCCUGCUUAUGCCCUUUUCUUCUCUGAGGAUCCCCUCCCUUGCUAGAGCCCCUGAUUUCUCAGUAUUCCUGUCCUGCAGUACCAGAGGUUUUAACUGGUGGAGCAUGCCAGAUCCUGCAUUCCUCAUUGAGGAAUCCUACUUGGCUACUGCUAGUAACCAGUCAAACCCUUCAUCACUGGAAGAGUUGCUAAAUUGGGAGAAGUGUUGCAUUCCUUCCCCGAAUUCCAGAUUUAUCUGCCACAUGGCUUUAGUGGAAAUCAGGAGAGAAGCAGCUCAGGUUGUUUCAUGACUGUAGGUACAGUUUGGAUGGGAGGCAAUAUCCAGAGUGUAACAGGAACUUAGGGACCUGGUGGCUUUCUAGAGAUUGGUUGUCAUCCAUCCAAUCAGAAACCUGGGCUGAACUUGAGCAUCUCCAAGGUGGAACCUCUUCCCAACAUAAUGUUAAAGGUUCUUCCUCCUUGCCUCCCUGCUUCCGUCUUACUCAGGAGGGAGGUGCCUCCCUAUACAGACAGCUCCUGAGAAAGCAUAAUGGAGCAGAGCAGACUGCCACCAUUUCUUGUUAAGAUUCCAGUGUACAGACCAAAAGUGCAAGAAAACUAUUUGGGGUGGGUUUUGGAUGUUCAUGGUGGGUCUUAUUGCUGUAAUUCAGCGUUUCAUUUAUUCAGAGUGAGUUCAGGAGUCAGAGAGGAAAUGAACUGAGCUCAAUUGCAGAGAACCUUCCCCCUUGCCAGGUAAACAGUCACCAGAUUGAUAAAACCAAGUCUUUCAUAGAUACAAAGUCACCUUGGCCUUUGACCCAUGAAGCUUCAGAAAUGAGCAUGGAUGUGACUAGAAACAGGAUGGUGCAGGCAAAAUAAAUAGGAGAAGGAAUGUGGGGGGGGGGGUACAUUUUCCCAGGAGAGGCAAAGUGUUUGGAAGGAGGAUGAAGGAAAGCAGUGGGUGGAAGGAGUGAUGCUGAACAAGUGACAAGCCACAGGGUCUUGGGGACAUCACUCUCAGACCACCUGGGCUGCCGCCCGCUCUCUGUAAGGGGCCUUUGUAGGUUUGCCAAACCUGUAGCUAGAGUCCCACGGAUGGCCAUCUCAAGUCUGUUCUUCAGGGGCUCUUCAGCUUAUGAGCCUUCAAAUAGAGCCCAGAGUGCAGGCUAGCAGCCAUUCAGGAGUGAGAGGUGAGGCAAGAACCCAGGCUGUCCUUAUGCCUCUUUGGGAGGUGUUGCCCUUAGGGCUUGGGACAGCUGAAAAGGUGUGUGGAUUUGUCCUUCACCAGAAGGACAAGUUUGGCUCACAGCAGCCUGAGACACACCUGGAGCCCAGAGGAUGCUGUUGAAGUUUCCUUACCGCUCUGCAAUGGCCCCCACCCCUCAAGGCCAGGUGAAGUCGGCCUCAAGUGGGGAGCCAGAGGCGCUCUUGGCUUGACACAUCCCUCCCUUUCCUGUCCCUCUUGCUUAAGUGGUAUCAUCCCACUUCUGCUCACUGGCUCUCACCCUUGAACUUGUGUAAUCCGUCUCAUUUCCCACCCCACCCCCAUCCCCACAUUCAUCAGCAAAGACAGUGGAGGAGGGGAAGUUUUCUCUUGCAGAACAGCAUUUGCCUCCCACAAUCCAACAGCUCUUCAUGACAGGUGAGAGAAUAGGAAGGGGCAGAGCCAUGGAAGAGGCCACAGAUUUCUGUCACAGUGGGACCAGAGUCUACUGUAGUCAGACUCCCGAUUCCCCACCGACCCACAGAUAAGAAAAGGCAAGAAGGGCACGUGUAAAUAAAUAAAUAAAAGGAGUGAGUUUUCUGGCUUUGCCGUGUGCUUGCCAUUCAAACAAGAGCUGAGCAGUCUUCCCAAACUCCCACUAAGAUGCCCUGGUUAGAAAACAAAUUACUAAGUGCAGCCAGAAAGCAGCCUUUCAGAGGUCAUUAUCAGGGCCUUGUCAAUGCCAUGCCUGAUUGGGAGCAGUGUUCAGAAUCAUUUUAUUUCUCUUGUUUGGGGAAGCUUUUUUUAACUGCUCCCUGCUGUCCUGUUAUUUUUGUGCUGAACCCCCAAAGGCAGUGUUAAGUGGAUGUCGUCUUUCCAAUUUCUUCCCAGAAGCAUUUCUUUCUGGUUAACAAUGGAACCAUUUGCACAAUAAGCAGGGAAGAAGAGUGGCCAAGCUUGAGCCCCGAGAAAACCCCUAACUGGGAUGAAGGCUUGUAUGUAGGUGUUGGUCCUGGUCCCCAUCUUUCCGAUGGCACAAAGAAGGAUGAAUCAUACAGGUGGCCCCAUAAGUAAAGAAAAAUAAAGAAAUGUCUAAGCAGUCCAACACCAAGAAGAAACCUGCUGCUGUCAGUCAAGAGGAUUCAAUUUGAGAAUUGUAGAAUUACCACC
rnacentral:lncRNA from 1 species